ensembl:lncRNA
AGUGGGGAAAACUCUUCCAGUUUCAAAUUGACUUUCUCAGCUCCCCAUUGAGUACCUGGGAUUUCCUGAGUAUUUCUUCAGGUACCUGGGAGUACGUGAGGAUUUGGGGAUUUCCAGGAGACUUUCUAGGACGUUUCCCAGCACCUGUGGAUUGGCUGCCAUUCCUGCUGGGUUUCCUCCUCUCCCUGGAAGCAACCAGACAUGCAGUGCCAGGCUACGUGCCCUGUGAUGCUAUGUGCCAGUGGAGGCCAGGACUGAGUUGGGAAGGAGGUGCUCUGGUCUAUUUUUCUGCCAAGUUGGGUGUGACGGAUGGAACCCGUGGAAUAUGCUCAGGCCUGAGCCCCUCCAAGGUUAUCAGUGGGGUCUGCUCUCCCCAGGGGCUGUCUCUCUGGGCCUCUCCUAGGAGCACCCCCUCCCAGAAGCCAGGCUGACCCAUGGCAUGGGCACCACCAAGCACCAAUGCUCCUUUUCAGCUCUCAGCGGGGGUGGGGGUAAAGCAGCUUUACCCAAGAUGAAAAGACACUAUUAUUAGUUUUUAAAUGAAAAAGUAAGGUGUAUUCAUUAUUUUUUUAAAAUCAAGCAUAAAAAUAAAAGUAGAAAGAAGAAAUGAAGACAUCACCUAUUAUCUCCCUCUUUCCAUAACUUUCUAGAGGAAAUGUAUGUAUUUUUCUACACAAAUAUGCAC